rnacentral:rRNA from 1 species
CCUACGGGAGGCUGCAGUGGGGAAUAUUGGACAAUGGGGGCAACCCUGAUCCAGCCAUGCCGCGUGUGUGAAGAAGGCCCUCGGGUUGUAAAGCACUUUCAGUGAGGAAGAACGCCUGGUGGUUAAUACCCAUCAGGAAAGACAUCACUCACAGAAGAAGCACCGGCUAACUCCGUGCCAGCAGCCGCGGUAAUACGGAGGGUGCGAGCGUUAAUCGGAAUUACUGGGCGUAAAGCGCGCGUAGGUGGCUUGAUAAGCCGGUUGUGAAAGCCCCGGGCUCAACCUGGGAACGGCAUCCGGAACUGUCAAGCUAGAGUGCAGGAGAGGAAGGUAGAAUUCCCGGUGUAGCGGUGAAAUGCGUAGGGAUCGGGAGGAAUACCAGUGGCGAAGGCGGCCUUCUGGACUGACACUGACACUGAGGUGCGAAAGCGUGGGUAGCAAACAGGAUUAGAUACCCCAGUAGUC